rnacentral:rRNA from 1 species
CCAGACUCCUACGGGAGGCAGCAGUGGGGAAUAUUGGGCAAUGGAGGAAACUCUGACCCAGCAAUGCCGCGUGAAUGAAGAAGGUCUUCGGAUUGUAAAGUUCUUUAGUCAGGGAAGAAUAAAAUGACGGUACCUGAAGAAUAAGCUCCGGCUAACUACGUGCCAGCAGCCGCGGUAAUACGUAGGGAGCAAGCGUUGUUCGGAAUGACUGGGCGUAAAGGGUGCGUAGGCGGUUAUACAAGUUAGAAGUGAAAUACCCAGGGCUUAACUCGGGUGCUGCUUCUAAAACUGUAAGACUUGAGUGCAGUAGAGGUUAGUGGAAUUCCUAGUGUAGCGGUGGAAUGCGUAGAUAUUAGGAGGAACACCAGUGGCGAAGGCGACUUUCUGGACAGUAACUGACGUUGAGGCACGAAAGUGUGGGGAGCAAACAGGAUUAGAUACCCGGGUA